rnacentral:rRNA from 1 species
AUUGAACGCUGGCGGCAGGCCUAACACAUGCAAGUCGAACGAGUGGCGGACGGGUGAGUAAUGUCUGGGAAACUGCCUGAUGGAGGGGGAUAACUACUGGAAACGGUAGCUAAUACCGCAUACCAUCGGAUGUGCCCAGAUGGGAUUAGCUAGUAGGUGGGGUAAAGGCUCACCUAGGCGACGAUCCCUAGCUGGUCUGAGAGGAUGACCAGCCAUACUGGAACGAGGAAACGGUCCAGACUCCUACGGGAGGCAGAAGUGGGGAAUAUGGCACAAUGGGCGAAAGCCUGAGGCAGCCAUGCCGCGUGUAUGAAGAAGGCCUUCGGGUGGUAAAGUACUUUCAGCGGGGAGGCGUUACCCGCAGAAGAAGCACCGGCUAACUCCGUGCCAGCAGCCGCGGUAAUAC